rnacentral:rRNA from 1 species
AUGAUUCGCCAGGACUUCAGCAUGCAUGAGCUUCAGGGGCUCUCUAGCCACCAGUUUGCCUGGCAGUGGCUACCAGCCACGGGACAAUCUGGAGGCAUCCUGCUCGGUGUCAGAGAGGAUGCUUUCUCGUUUGAAGAUAUGGACCGAGGGGAGUUCUUCCUGAGCAUGUCCGUCACCGACCGACGAGUUCACCUCAACUGGGAGGUGAUUUUUGUUUAUGGUCCUGCGGAUCAUGGGCAUUCGGCCGCUUUCCUUGCCGAGCUAAGAAAUAAGGUGGAGAGGUGCACCACUCCGGUCGUGGUGGCCGGGGAUGUUAACCUCAUUAGGUGGGAUUCAGAUAAAAGCUCUCCUAAUGUUCAUCGGGUCCGCAUGCGUCUAUUUAACGACUGCAUUGCGGACCUUGCUCUUCAUGAGAUAGCCCGUGUAGGGGCGAGGUUCACGUGGACGAAUACGAAGUUAGACCCCAUUCGGAGUGUCUUGGAUCGGGUCUUUGUGUCGGCUCAGUGGGAAGUGAUGUUCCCAUUGUGCUCCCUCAAGGCGGUCACUCGGAUUGGCUCCGAUCAUACCCCCCUGCUUUUCUCUUCGGGGGAUGAUGCUCCCCGUAGAACUCGUCGCUUCCGCUUUGAGGCCUUUUGGUUGGAGCAACCGGUUUCUUUGAGUUGGUUCGUGACUGGGUUAGGAGAUACUCCCUGA